rnacentral:rRNA from 1 species
UACAGAGGUGGCAAGCGUUGUUCGGAAUUACUGGGCGUAAAGGGCGCGUAGGUGGCCUUUUGAGUCAGACGUGAAAUCCCCCGGCUUAACCUGGGAACUGCGUCUGAUACUGGAAGGCUUGAGUUCGGGAGAGGGAUGUGGAAUUCCAGGUGUAGCGGUGAAAUGCGUAGAUAUCUGGAGGAACACCGGUGGCGAAGGCGGCAUCCUGGACCGAAACUGACACUGAGGCGCGAAAGCCAGGGGAGCAAACGGG